ACGCUCGACACCUACGGGAUGCAGCAGUGGGGAAUAUUGCACAAUGGGGGAAACCCUGAUGCAGCGACGCCGCGUGAAGGAAGAAGUAUUUCGGUAUGUAAACUUCUAUCAGCAGGGAAGAAAAUGACGGUACCUGACUAAGAAGCCCCGGCUAACUACGUGCCAACAGCCGCGGUAAUACUGAGCGGGCGUGGCGAAGGCG
rnacentral:rRNA from 1 species